CUGAUGCAGUGAUGAUUGCAUAGUUCAGCAGAUAACUAUGAAGAAUAACUAUUGUCUUUCGCUCCUAGCUGAUGUGUCGG
ensembl:snoRNA